GGGGGUGACGGGAUUCGAUGGGUAUUCGUUCCAAAUCCAGCAGGCCGAGGGUUGUUCGCUGCCUCGUAAAUCCCGCGAACAAGAAAGCAAGUGUCAACGCUUUCAGCCGGGUGAAGGAUGCGGUUCGCAAUGCGUUCCGUAUGCCGACGCUCGCUUCGGCAGUCGCCUAACCGCACUGCCCAUCCGAUGUGCCCAUGCUCGAUAGGCACACCUCGGGUGCAAUAUCAUCGAGCUGGAUCUGCUGUGCGCCUCGUCGGCGGAUCGAGAUGACAUCGGGGCUCAUCACGUGCGCGUUUUGUCCUGUUUAAGCGCACGCGAGACAUCAUGAACAGGACUGUGCCUGGAGAAGGAAUUGGUCAACGCAUGCACCACACGGGGGUUCAACUCCCCCCACCUCCAUAA
rnacentral:tmRNA from 1 species